rnacentral:lncRNA from 1 species
GCGGUGGUGGUAGCGACAUGGCGACAUGUACUGCAACGGUGGUUUUCGGACGACGGCGAAGGCACAACAAAGUGGUUCCCAGGAUUGCUUUGCAGCACGACGGCUGUUAGACGGCGGUGUACACAGCUUGGUGAAGCAUGGCGGGGACGGAGAUGCCCGCUACAAACAAACGGCCUAGGGGCACGUCGGGCUGCUAUGUGCGAC